CUGAUGUACUGAGAAGGCCACUUCCAGCAGGAUGAUGCCAUCCCUUGAGGACAUGCAGAAAAUGCUUUGGAGAAGGAGACUGCAGGUGAGAAGAUUCUCCAGAGGUUUCUUUUCUGGCAUUGUAUGUCUGGUGCAGGAGAUAGCUGAAGAUGGUUGAGAAGCUGCAGGCAUCCUGAUUCUGUGAUGCAAAAUAAAAGAAGUUUUAGGACAUUUCAGAAGAUGGAGCUGGAAUGUUCCCCAGAUAUCCCUGAGAUUGUGCCUGUAUCUACACGGAGACUUGCUGCAUAUUCAGCAUGGCACACGGAUGGAGUGGCUGCUUUGAACUGCUUUUGCAACAAUGGAUUCUGCUUGACUGAUAAUGAAACCAUGGGAUAGACCUC